UGGGGAAUUUUGGACAAUGGGGGCAACCCUGAUCCAGCAAUGCCGCGUGUGUGAAGAAGGCCUUCGGGUUGUAAAGCACUUUUGUCCGGAAAGAAAACGUCGUGGUUAAUACCCGUGGCGGCUGACGGUACCGGAAGAAUAAGCACCGGCUAACUACGUGCCAGCAGCCGCGGUAAUACGUAGGGUGCAAGCGUUAAUCGGAAUUACUGGGCGUAAAGCGUGCGCAGGCGGUCCGCUAAGACAGAUGUGAAAUCCCCGGGCUUAACCUGGGAACUGCAUUGGUGACUGGCAGGCUAGAGUAUGGCAGAGGGGGGUAGAAUUCCACGUGUAGCAGUGAAAUGCGUAGAGAUGUGGAGGAAUACCGAUGGCGAAGGCAGUCCCCUGGGCCAAUACUGACGCUCAUGCACGAAAGCGUGGGGGAGCAAACAGGAUUAGAUACCCUGGUAGUCCACGCCCAUAAACGAUGUCAACUAGUUGUUGGGGAUUCAUUUCCUUAGUAACGUAGCUAACGCGUGAAGUUGACCGCCUGGGGAGUACGGUCGC
rnacentral:rRNA from 1 species